rnacentral:rRNA from 1 species
ACGGGUGAGUAACACGUGAGUAACCUGCCCUUAACUCUGGGAUAAGCCUGGGAAACUGGGUCUAAUACCGGAUAUGACUCCUCAUCGCAUGGUGGGGGGUGGAAAGCUUUUUGUGGUUUUGGAUGGACUCGCGGCCUAUCAGCUUGUUGGUGAGGUAAUGGCUUACCAAGGCGACGACGGGUAGCCGGCCUGAGAGGGUGACCGGCCACACUGGGACUGAGACACGGCCCAGACUCCUACGGGAGGCAGCAGUGGGGAAUAUUGCACAAUGGGCGCAAGCCUGAUGCAGCGACGCCGCGUGAGGGAUGACGGCCUUCGGGUUGUAAACCUCUUUCAGUAGGGAAGAAGCGAAAGUGACGGUACCUGCAGAAGAAGCGCCGGCUAACUACGUGCCAGCAGCCGCGGUAAUACGUAGGGCGCAAGCGUUAUCCGGAAUUAUUGGGCGUAAAGAGCUCGUAGGCGGUUUGUCGCGUCUGCCGUGAAAGUCCGGGGCUCAACUCCGGAUCUGCGGUGGGUACGAGCAGACUAGAGUGAUGUAGGGGAGACUGGAAUUCCUGGUGUAGCGGUGAAAUGCGCAGA